rnacentral:rRNA from 1 species
UACGUAGGGUGCGAGCGUUAAUCGGAAUUACUGGGCGUAAAGCGUGCGCAGGCGGUUCGUUGUGUCGGUGGUGAAAUCCCCGGGCUUAACCUUGGAAUGGCCAUGGAAACUGGCGAACUGGAGUGCGGCAGAGGGGGGUGGAAUUCCGCGUGUAGCAGUGAAAUGCGUAGAGAUGCGGAGGAACACCGAUGGCGAAGGCAGCCCCCUGGGCUAGCACUGACGCUCAGGCACGAAAGCGUGGGGAGCAAACAGG